rfam:Coniophora puteana RWD-64-598 SS2 unplaced genomic scaffold CONPTscaffold_7, whole genome shotgun sequence.
GGUGCUAUAGUGUAGUGGUUAUCACUCGGGAUUUUGACUCUGAACAUCUUCCCGGAACCCAGGUUCGAACCCUGGUAGCACCU